rnacentral:rRNA from 1 species
GUGCCUAACACGUGCAAGUCGAACGGAACUGUUUUGAAAGAUUUCUUCGGAAUGAAUUUGAUUUAGUUUAGAGGCGGACGGGUGAGUAACGCGUGAGUAACCUGCCUUCAAGAGGGGGAUAACAUUCUGAAAAGAAUGCUAAUACCGCAUGACAUAUCGGAACCACAUGGUUCUGAUAUCAAAGAUUUUAUCGCUUGAAGAUGGACUCGCGUCCGAUUAGUUAGUUGGUGAGGUAACGGCUCACCAAGACCGCGAUCGGUAGCCGGACCGAGAGGUUGAACGGCCACAUUGGGACUGAGACACGGCCCAGACUCCUACGGGAGGCAGCAGUGGGGGAUAUUGCGCAAUGGGGGCAACCCUGACGCAGCAACGCCGCGUGAAGGAUGAAGGUUUUCGGAUUGUAAACUUCUUUUAUUAAGGACGAAAAAUGACGGUACUUAAUGAAUAAGCUCCGGCUAACUACGUGCCAGCAGCCGCAGUAACAC